rnacentral:rRNA from 1 species
CCUAGAGGGGGACAACAGUUGGAAACGACUGCUAAUACCGCAUACGAUCUAAUCUCGGCAUCGAGGAUGGAUGAAAGGUGGCCUCUACAUGUAAGCUAUCACUGAAGGAGGGGAUUGCGUCUGAUUAGCUAGUUGGAGGGGUAACGGCCCACCAAGGCGAUGAUCAGUAGCCGGUCUGAGAGGAUGAACGGCCACAUUGGGACUGAGACACGGCCCAG